rnacentral:rRNA from 1 species
CCCUUAGAUGUCCUGGGCCGCACGCGCGUUACACUGAUGCAUUCAACGAGCUUAUAACCUUGGCCGAGAGGCCUGGGCAAUCUUGUUAACGUGCAUCGUGAUAGGGAUAGAUUAUUGAAAUUAUUAAUCUUGAACGAGGAAUUCCUAGUAAGCGCGAGUCAUCAGCUCGUGCUGAUUACGUCCCUGCCCUUUGUACACACCGCCCGUCGCUCCUACCGAUUGAGUGCUCAGGUGAAUAAUUCGGACUGCAGCAAUGUUUGGAUCCCGAACGUUGCAGCGGAAAGUUUAGUGAACCUUAUCACUUAGAGGAAGGAGAAGUCGUAACA